GACUUCUGGAAGAGCAGUCAGUGC
rnacentral:piRNA from 1 species